GCAUGUGGUUUAAUUCGAAGCAACGCGAAGAACCUUACCAGGCCUUGACAUGCAGAGAACUUUCCAGAGAUGGAUUGGUGCCUUCGGGAACUCUGACACAGGUGCUGCAUGGCUGUCGUUAGCUCGUGUCGUGAGAUGUUGGGUUAAGUCCGUAACGAGCGCAACCCUUGUCCUUAGUUACCAGCACGUAUGGUGGGCACUCUAAGGAGACUGCCGGUGACAAACCGGAGGAAGGUGGGGAUGACGUCAAGUCAUCAUGGCCCUUACGGCCUGGGCUACACACGUGCUACAAUGGUCGGUACAAAGGGUUGCCAAGCCGCGAGGUGGAGCUAAUCCCAUAAAACCGAUCGUAGUCCGGAUCGCAGUCUGCAACUCGACUGCGUGAAGUCGGAAUCGCUAGUAAUCGUGAAUCAGAAUGUCACGGUGAAUACGUUCCCGGGCCUU
rnacentral:rRNA from 1 species